GGGCCCGUAGCUCAGCCUGGUUAGAGCGUCCGGCUCAUAACCGGACGGUCGAGGGUUCAAAUCCCUUCGGGCCCA
rnacentral:tRNA from 1 species